rnacentral:rRNA from 1 species
AGCGAACGCUGGCGGCAGGCCUAACACAUGCAAGUCGAACGGCCCUUCGGGGUAGUGGCGGACGGGUGAGUAACGCGUGGGAAUGUGCCCUUUGGUACUGAACAACUGGGGGAAACUUCAGCUAAUACCGUAUGUGCCCUUCGGGGGAAAGAUCUAUCGCCACUGGAGCAGCCCGCGUUUGAUUAGCUAGUUGGUAGGGUAAAGGCCUACCAAGGCGACGAUCCAUAGCUGGUCUGAGAGGAUGAUCAGCCACACUGGGACUGGGACACGGCCCAGACUCCUACGGGAGGCAGCAGUGGGGAAUCUUGAGCAAUGGGCGAAAGCCUGACGCAGCCAUGCCGCGUGUAUGAUGAAGGUCUUAGGAUUGUAAAAUACUUUCACCGGGGAAGAUAAUGACGGUACCCGGAGAAGAAGCCCCGGCUAACUUCGUGCCAGCCGCCGCCGUAACAC